UUUGACCUCAAAUCAGGUAGGACUACCCGCUGAACUUAAGCAUAUCAAUAAGCGGAGGAAAAGAAACUAACAAGGAUUCCCCUAGUAACUGCGAGUGAACCGGGAAAAGCUCAAAUUUGAAAUCUGCCAGCCUCUCUUUUUUCUUUGGCUGUCCGAGUUGUAAUCUAGAGAAGUGCUUACCCGUGCUGGAC
rnacentral:rRNA from 1 species